rnacentral:rRNA from 1 species
UACGAGGGGGGCAAGUGUUGUUCGGAAUCACUGGGCGUAAAGGGAGCGUAGGCGGGCUUUUAAGUUAGGUGUUUAAUCCCGGGGCCCAACCCCGGACCGGCACCUAAAACUGGGAGUCUUGAAUAGUGGAGAGGUCAGUGGAAUUGGGGGUGUAGCGGUGGAAUGCGUAGAGAUCCCCAAGAACACCAGUGGCGAAGGCGGCUCACUGGCCCGAUACUGACGCUGAGGCACGAAAGCGUGGGGAGCAAACAGG